rnacentral:rRNA from 1 species
CAGUAGCCGCGGUAAUACGGAGGAUCCAAGCGUUAUCCGGAAUCAUUGGGUUUAAAGGGUCCGUAGGCGGUCUUGUAAGUCAGUGGUGAAAGCCCAUCGCUCAACGGUGGAACGGCCAUUGAUACUGCAGGACUUGAAUUAUUGGGAAGUAACUAGAAUAUGUAGUGUAGCGGUGAAAUGCUUAGAGAUUACAUGGAAUACCAAUUGCGAAGGCAGGUUACUACCAAUUGAUUGACGCUGAUGGACGAAAGCGUGGGUAGCGAACAGGAUUAGAUACCCCUGUAGUCCCUGUCUCUUAUAU